CCUGGCUCACGAUGAACGCUGGCGGCGCGCCUAACACAUGCAAGUCGAACGAUAGAGAGGGAGCUUGCUUCCUUGAUCGAGUGGCGAACGGGUGAGUAACGCGUGAGGAACCUGCCUCAAAGAGGGGGACAACAGUUGGAAACGACUGCUAAUACCGCAUAAGCCCACGACCCGGCAUCGGGAAGAGGGAAAAGGAGCAAUCCGCUUUGAGAUGGCCUCGCGUCCGAUUAGCUAGUUGGUGAGGUAACGGCCCACCAAGGCGACGAUCGGUAGCCGGACUGAGAGGUUGAACGGCCACAUUGGGACUGAGACACGGCCCAGACUCCUACGGGAGGCAGCAGUGGGGAAUAUUGCACAAUGGGGGAAACCCUGAUGCAGCGACGCCGCGUGGAGGAAGAAGGUCUUCGGAUUGUAAACUCCUGUUGUUGAGGAAGAUAAUGACGGUACUCAACAAGGAAGUGACGGCUAACUACGUGCCAGCAGCCGCGGUAAAACGUAGGUCACAAGCGUUGUCCGGAAUUACUGGGUGUAAAGGGAGCGCAGGCGGGCGAUCAAGUUGGAAGUGAAAUCCAUGGGCUCAACCCAUGAACUGCUUUCAAAACUGGUCGUCUUGAGUAGUGCAGAGGUAGGCGGAAUUCCCGGUGUAGCGGUGGAAUGCGUAGAUAUCGGGAGGAACACCAGUGGCGAAGGCGGCCUACUGGGCACCAACUGACGCUGAGGCUCGAAAGUGUGGGUAGCAAACAGGAUUAGAUACCCUGGUAGUCCACACCGUAAACGAUGAUUACUAGGUGUUGGGAGAUUGACCCUCUCAGUGCCGCAGUUAACACAAUAAGUAAUCCACCUGGGGAGUACGACCGCAAGGUUGAAACUCAAAGGAAUUGACGGGGGCCCGCACAAGCAGUGGAGUAUGUGGUUUAAUUCGACGCAACGCGAAGAACCUUACCAAGUCUUGACAUCCUCUGACGAACGUAGAAAUACGUUUUCUCUUCGGAGCAGAGAGACAGGUGGUGCAUGGUUGUCGUCAGCUCGUGUCGUGAGAUGUUGGGUUAAGUCCCGCAACGAGCGCAACCCUUAUGGUCAGUUACUACGCAAGAGGACUCUGGCCAGACUGCCGUUGACAAAACGGAGGAAGGUGGGGAUGACGUCAAAUCAUCAUGCCCUUUAUGACUUGGGCUACACACGUACUACAAUGGCGUUAAACAAAGAGAAGCAAGACC
rnacentral:rRNA from 1 species